CUAGAACUUAAAGUAUAAUAAUAAUUUUAAAAAAAGAAAAAAAAAGCUAAUGCAACAGAAACAAAAAUGAAAAAACACAGAUGGACUUAAACUAAAAAGCUUCUGCACAGCCAAAGGAAUAAUCAAAAGAGGGAAAAAUCUUGAUCUUUUCAUUUUUUUCAGGGUCCACUUCAUGAUGUUUUACUAGGAUAGGAAUACCUAAUUGUUUCCAAUUCUGAGAGGUAAUAUCCUCCAAUUGGUAACGGUUGGAUGAUCUUUAUUCUUAAGCUAUUUAAAAUGGGUUAAUAUAGCUGGCAAUUUGUACUGUGCAGCUACUGAUGGCAAGAUAAGAGCCAGAGGAUUCCAGUUUCUCUUAGAGGAUUUCAACAAAUUGAACAAUAUCAUGUGGCUAGAAUUCUAAAGAUAUGCCAAGUCAAGCAGACAAAUUGAUUCUCAGGGUGGCUGGUAAUAGGAAUCCAGUAAGUAUUUUUGAACAAAUGAGUGACAAUAUGAAAGUUAAGUUUAAACAAAGGUAGGUUCAGAGAAUCCAAGUAGGAAACUAUGCCAGCAGUUUCACUGAGGUAAUAAGGCAUUUUCCCACAGUAGUGGAA
rnacentral:lncRNA from 1 species